UGCUCAGUCGCACAACAUCCUGCUGGAUCAGCAUUGUGUGAACCUUAGGUUCUCCAUAAUACAGUGUAAUCAUAUUUUGAAUUGUUGGAAAGUUGUAGUGGUUAUUGUGCUGGGUGCUGGGUUGCAGUAGUUAGGGUGCUGGGCUGUAGUGGUUAUUGUGCUGGGUGCUGGGUUGUAGUGAUCAGGGUGCUGGGUGCUGGGUUGUAGUGGUUAGGGUGCUGGGUUGUAGUGGUCAGGGUGCUGGGUUGUAGUAGUUAGGGUGCUGGGUUGCAGUGGUUAGGGUGCUGGGUUGUAGUGGUUAGGGUGCUGGGUUUCAGUGGUUAGGGUGCUGGGUUGCAGUGGUUUGGGUACUGGGCUGUAGUGGUUAUUGUGUUAGUUGUAGUGGUUAGGGUGCUGGGUUGUAGUGGUUAUUGUACUGGCUGCUGGGUUGUAGUGGUUAGGGUGCUCUCUCUCUCUCUCUUCCUCUGACUCACACUGUCCCACACUCUGUCCUUCUUUCUCUCUCUCCUCUCUCUCUCUCUCUGCCUCUCUCUGUCUCUCUUUCUCUCUCUGUCUCUCCUUCACUCUCCCUCUCCUUAGUGGACAGCUCAGUGGCUGCAGUCUUGAACAUUCGUCUGAUCUGUGUGUGUGGCAGCAUUUCCACAGAAGCUGAGUGUGAUUAGUGAGACGUGACAAGUGAGAAUGAACAGAUGAGGAGUUCCUGAUUUCAGAAAGUAUAGCUGUAUACACGGCACUCACACCGACUCAGCUUAUAGCCUAUAUACACAGCACAGACCGUGCAUUACCAUCCCAGUCUCUGCUGAGAUCAAGGGAACCAAUGAUGGAGUCCAGAAAAGUCUUCUUCUUAGUGCUCUAUCUCUUGUUGUACAGCAGCUUCUCAACUGCCGAUCCAACUUGCAGAGGCACUAGUAAUGGUGCAUGUGGAUCCAGUGAAGUCUGCCGCAAUGGUGAAUGUGUGGAUGGAUGCAGCGUGUAUAGCUGUGGGGUGAACGCACAAUGUUCUACCACAAACAACAUCCAGAGCUGCAGCUGUGUGAGUCCAUGGAUUCCGUGGAAAAAAGAGGAACCUCACAGAGAAGGCUGCCGCUACCAGGAGCUUCAGUGGGUGGAUCGCAAUUCUACGGAUCCCAUUCCAGAAAAUGCCGUGACAUCGAAGACAAAACAUCAUGUUUGUCGAGCGCACGGCCCAGAUGGUGGAUGGCAUGGAGGAUGGAUCUAUCUCCAUGGCGUCAACACCUGCAAUUAUGGGUAUGACUGCGAUGAGAAAACGGCUGACAGUUUUCAGGUGCUGGUGGACCCCUGUGGUGGCAGUGGAGUGUACUGGUUGAGUGGCGGGAUAUAUGCUGACUCUGUUGAGAUUGGCCAGGCUGUUCCAUGGCCCUGGAUUAAAUACGUGGUGUGCAGCACGAAGGGCAAAGGCAUUCCAGGGAAACUUAAUGUUAGUGGACUAAUGUGUAAUUAUGGUUAUGAAGGAUAUAGUCACCGUGAUGGAAAUUUUUACUCUCUUGUGAAAAAAACGUGUUUAGAUUCUGAACCCAGAGGGGGGAAACACAUUUGUCUUCACCCUCUUCUAAACUUCUUUUGAAAGUGAUUUUAGCUGAUCAACAUAAAAUGGCAUGUUACAUUGGACAGCAGAUAAAAAACACUUAAAGGUUGUCAGUUAAGAGACGCUUUCCUUUAAAAGCAAAAUGCUAAAUUAAAAGCCAUAAUCCAACAUGAGACUGCUCUGGAACCAUCUCUCUCACACACACACCUGUCACACGCAAAUCUACCACAUAUGAUGUUUAUUAAUCAGUGAGGUAUGAUACAUUCACUGCUUGAUCUUUUUUUAGCAUUUUCUACAGGAAUCUUAUUAUUAAUAAGAUUUAUUAUUAAUAAUCCACUGUAUUCUCACAUUGCUAAUAAACUCUAUGAGUGUCA